rnacentral:misc_RNA from 1 species
GAUGAAGAACGCAGCGAAAUGCGAUACGUAAUGUGAAUUGCAGAAUUCAGUGAAUCAUCGAAUCUUUGAACGCAUAUUGCGCUCUCUGGUAUUCCGGAGAGCAUGCUUGUUUGAGUAUCAGUAAACACCUCAACUCCCUUUUCUUUUUUGAAAUUGGAGCUGGACUUGAGUGAUCCCAACGCUUUCUUCCAAGAAAGUGGCGGGUUGCUUGAAAUGCAGGUGCAGCUGAACUUUUCUCUGAGCUAUAAGCAUAUCUAUUUAGUCUGCCUAAAAAACAGAUUAUUACCUUUGCUGCAGCUAACAUAAAGGAGACUAGUUCUUGCGCUGACUGAUGCAGGAUUCACAGAGACAGCUUCGGCUGACUUUGUAAACUCGAUCUCAAAUCAAGUAAGACUACCCGCUGAACUUAAGCAUAUCAAUAAGCGGAGGA